GAGUUUGAUCCUGGCUCAGAACGAACGCUGGCGGCAUGCCUAACACAUGCAAGUCGAACGGGAUCCGGACUUCGGUUCGGUGAGAGUGGCGGACGGGUGAGUAACGCGUGGGAAUCUGCCCAGUGGUGGGGGAUAACUGCGGGAAACUGCAGCUAAUACCGCAUGAGCCCGAGAGGGGAAAGAUUUAUCGCCAUUGGAGGAGCCCGCGUUCGAUUAGGUAGUUGGUGAGGUAACGGCUCACCAAGCCGACGAUCGAUAGCUGGUCUGAGAGGAUGAUCAGCCACACUGGGACUGAGAUACGGCCCAGACUCCUACGGGAGGCAGCAGUGGGGAAUAUUGGACAAUGGGGGCAACCCUGAUCCAGCAAUGCCGCGUGAGUGAUGAAGGCCUUC
rnacentral:rRNA from 1 species